AGCUCCAAUAGCGUAUAUUAAAGUUGUUGCGUUUAAAAAGCUCGUAGUUGGAUCUGCGGCCUAGGAUGGCGGUCCCCCAAUGGGUGGUCACUGCUUUUCCUGGCCUAAUAUCUCCGGUUUUCUCUUGAGGCUCUUUACUGAGUCGCUUGAGUGGCUGGAAAAUUUACUUUGAAAAAAUUAGAGUGCUUAAAGCAGGCGAAUGCCUGAAUAGUGGUGCAUGGAAUAAUGGAAUAGGACCUCGGUUCUAUUU
rnacentral:rRNA from 1 species